rnacentral:tRNA from 1 species
GGGCCGGUGACCGGAGAUGGCAUCGGGGAGCACUGUAAAUGCUUUUGUUUCGACAACGGGGGGUUCGAGUCCCUCACGGCCCA